AGCUCUCAGUCAAGCCCCCCAGGCAGGAGAGAUGCUGCAGGUUUUAUGAGAACCCCUGGACUCAAGGCUGGAGUACCCAAAAUGUGAGCAAGGCACAAACUUCUCAGAGCCUCCUCCUCACCUGCAAAUGUGCUGACGGUGUGCAUCACACACACUGGCGCCCAGUGACAUUAAAAGCUGGGGAGUCUCACUCACUUUCAUCACUGAAGGUUCUGAUUUUAUUCCCAUCUCCAGCCCCCAGAGUCCCGGGUGACCUUGCAAACUGCUUCGGAUUCUACAUCUAGAAUGUGAUGAAUUUCUUUUUUCAUCGUCUUCCCACUGGAAUCGAAGCUCGUGAGAGCAGGACCUUGGCCUGUUUUACUCACUGCUGACUUCCCAGGGCUUGGAGCAGUGCCCGGCACGGAGUCCGCGCUCGGUGCGUGUCUGUCAAGUGACCACAUGGAUCCCAUCACCUGUUCUACACUUGUCGCCCGUUGCCUUUGUGGUAUUUGGCACCACCCUGGGCAGAUGUGGGUGAUACGUGGCAGUCGUGAAAGAAUGAGACAACAACAUAAGACCCGCAGAGCCAGGAUCUAACACACAGGCAAGGCGGGCACGCCUCGGCAGGAAGUCAUGGGGCUCAGAGGCCCUCGUGGGCUAAGGGCUGAGGUCAGGCAGGCGCCUCUGUGUCUGCUGGGCAAAGAUCAGGCUGGUGUGGGGUAAGGGCUGGGUGAGCAUCGUUGAGCAGAAAUUACAUUCUAGGUUGCCCUAAGGACAUGGAGAAAACUGCUAGUUUUUAAAAAUCGAACUGAAUUCUGUCUUCGUGGGCUGGAGAGCAUGGUCAAAGUCAUUUCUAGCAGAUCACACCCCAUCUGGUUUGGGGCGGUUCCUCCGUGCCUGGAAACUUCUAUACCAUGCCAGGGCUCAUAGCUCCAUUGUUUGUCGUCCUGAGACUUGGCUUUCCUAAACACGGCCCAGAAGUUCUCUUCCCAACGCUGGGCAAGUGGCUGAGAAGUUGCCCAUCCAAGGAAACACAUAGAGAAGAUGAGGAAAUGGAGGCACAGAAGACUCAAAUAACUUGCUCAAGUCCACACAGCUAGGAAGUGGAGAGGAAGCUAGAAUUAAUUCCAGGCAGCCUGACAUCAGCAUUAUGUCUACUUCUGGAAGAAACAGAACUGACAGUCUGCUAAGAACUGGUCAGACCCCAGGACACAGGUUUCCAGAACAUGUGAGUGCACUCUGCCUGGUCCAGCGGUCAAAGAGACCACACCAAGACGCAGCACUGCCUACCCCUGGGAGAUCUCAGGACACCAAGAAGGAGAGGAUGCUGAAAGCUUCCGGAGUCCUCGAGGGAAAAACAAAAUCAAUUCAUAAAUGAGAUACAGAGAUAUAGAUAACAUGUAAUAUACAAAGGAUGAGGAGUCGAAAUGUCUUCAGAAUUUUCUAAAGAAUGCUAGAGGCAAGAAGGCAAUGAAACCACAAAUUCCUGAAAAGAAAACAUUUCAAACUUGGAAUUCUAUACUCAGCCAAACAAUAUAGUGGGAGGGUAGACAAAAGAUUUUUUUAAGCACUUCCCGAGAGUUGUUUCUAGGGAAGCCACCAAGCGCUCCACGGAUGACAAGCCAAUGACACUGUAAAAAUGUGAUUCGGGGAUGUA